rnacentral:rRNA from 1 species
GACAGAGGGGGCAAGCGUUGCUCGGAAUUAUUGGGCGUAAAGAGCUCGUAGGCGGUCUGUCGCGUCGGCUGUGAAAUCCCGAGGCUCAACCUCGGGUCUGCAGUCGAUACGGGCAAACUGGAGUGUUGCAGGGGAGACUGGAAUUCCUGGUGUAGCGGUGAAAUGCGCAGAUAUCAGGAGGAACACCGGUGGCGUAGGCGGGUCUCUGGGCAACAACUGACGCUGAGGAGCGAAAGCGUGGGGAGCGAACAGG